AUUGAACGCUGGCGGCAGGCUUAACACAUGCAAGUCGAGCGGGGUGAUGGUGCUUGCACUAUCACUUAGCGGCGGACGGGUGAGUAAUGCUUAGGAAUCUGCCUAUUAGUGGGGGACAACAUCUCGAAAGGGAUGCUAAUACCGCAUACGUCCUACGGGAGAAAGCAGGGGAUCACUUGUGACCUUGCGCUAAUAGAUGAGCCUAAGUCGGAUUAGCUAGUUGGUGGGGUGAAGGCCUACCAAGGCGACGAUCUGUAGCGGGUCUGAGAGGAUGAUCCGCCACACUGGGACUGAGACACGGGCCAGACUCCUACGGGAGGCAGCAGUGGGGAAUAUUGGACAAUGGGGGGAACCCUGAUCCAGCCAUGCCGCGUGUGUGAAGAAGGCCUUAUGGUUGUAAAGCACUUUAAGCGAGGAGGAGGCUCUUUUGGUUAAUACCCAAGAUGAGUGGACGUUACUCGCAGAAUAAGCACCGGCUAACCCUGUGCCAGCCGCCGCGGUAA
rnacentral:rRNA from 1 species